rnacentral:lncRNA from 1 species
CUCUUGCAUUCUAUGAUGUUUCCAGACACUCUGUGCAAAGAACAGAGGCAAGCCUCCAGCCAGGAGCUCAUGAAAUCAUGAACUGAGGCCUCAGUGCAAUAGCUCAUGAGGAAAUGAAUUAUUUCAACAGCCAGAUUUGAUAUCAAAGUAAUGUCAAGUGCUUCUGACCCACUGCAUUAAACGUGUGCUGAGCAGUUGGUGGUAGAAGACAUUAUUGUGAAGGCUGCUCACCACCAAUUUCAUCACUGUUGCUAACUCCAGCUCAUCUAAUCUCUGCAACAUCUGCUACCAGCACCUUCUCUUGCCUCCUUUUGUGAACAUAGUUUUUUCUUCUGGUUAGAAAAUCAGUUCGAACUUCUUGAGUUUUGUGUUUUAAACUCUUCUCAACUGUUCCGAUGAUUGAUGGAUGGCCCAGAGGCGACCUCUUUAUCUCCAGCAACAUAUUUGGCUGUUGGCCCGGUAGAGAGGUACUCCAGAAGCUUGCUGGUUCAUCAUGCUCUCAUCUUUAACCACAACUAUUUAUCUGACUCCUUCCAUCUCCACAGCACUGUGUGAGGGAUCAGUGAUAAGAGACGGUGAAAGACAUGCGCAAAUGGAUAAAUAAUAAGCAGGAUAUGUAGAAUGACACAACAAUUGAUGAGUAAUUUAGGAGAUCCAAUAACUAAAAAAAAAAAGACUGGGGACAAGUUCAUGGAAAGAGUAAUCAACUAAGCCUUAUAACAUAAAAUUGACAAAUAGAGAAGGCAUGCAAUCCAGUAGAAUAGAGUGCAAAAGAGGUAGAAGACUAAUCGUUUCAAGACAUGUUGAGCCACAACAGCAAUAACAUUGUGACAAAAAACGUCGGUGUAGACUGCAGAAGAUCUUCAAUGACGGAUCAAGCUGUAUAGACUUUUUUUUACCCUCAUAUACUGAAUAGUCAUUUAAGGUAUACAGUGCCAACGUAAGAGAGAAAGGUAAACUUUUUUUAACACAAGUUGUAGGCCUUGGAAAGAAGUUUUCCAGUAACAAGAUAACACGAUAAUGUACUGUGGUUAUAAGCUCAAAGUGGUAUAUUUGAUUCAGUGUUCCCAGAACCACCAAAACCUUGGAACCAUUGUUUAGCUAAAGCUACUAGAACAACAGAAUAACCUACUCUGUGGCAUUGUAAAGUAAAAUUAUACUACACACAAAUACUUGACAUAAAAUACAUUUCCAAACUCAAUUAUUAGGGAUAACAUAAGCACAAAAUGAUGCUUUGCAAACAUCAUGUAUCCUAUAACUGGAGAAAAAAAAUUAAUGACAUGAAGUGAAAUGACUGAGUUCUGAAGCUACAUCUCAAUUUAAAUAGCAUAAGCAAUUUAGUAUACAACAUUCUUCAAAAUCAAUUGUUGAAGGUUAACUAUAAUCUACAUACAAAAACAACUUUGUCAACUUUUUGUACGGAUUUUCCUUCUAAACAUAUUUACUUUAUGUGUAAAAUCAAAAAAUUUCCUGAGUUAAAGGCUAAGACUUGACUUUAUGAAUACAUGCCCAAAAAUUGGUGGUGGCUGGUUUCUGUUUUUAUUUUGUAAGCUUAGUAUAAUGGUUGUCCAGAACUUGUAAGCAAUGACCUCAUUUCUAAGCGGACAAGAUGCAAAAGACCAUUUUUACAGAUUAACCAUCUGGUUCCUUUAGGAAGAGUAAUAUUUCAACAGGUUCCUGUAUUUCAAGAAUAUAAAUAAUUAAAAAGAUGAAGAUAUGUGAAAUACACAAAGAAAAAAAUAGAGAAAAUAGCAUUUAAAGCAAAUUAUCCUAGCUCCCUCAAUUAAUAUUUUAAAACCAUGACAAUCAGUUAUUAAUAUAAAUUGUUAAUUUUAUUUAAUACAACAUCAAUAUAAUUCAUACCAUCUUCUUCAACUAGGUGGUCUAUCAUUUUGGAGUUUCUUUCCACCUCUGGAGAAUUGCUCAGGAAAUCUGGCUAACAUACCAAAUAAAUCAAAUGGAUUUAAUGAGAUGGUUUUUGGCUAGUUUCUAUAUUCUUGUAUACACAUGCAUGUAACACAUAAAUGUGGUGCUGUUCACAGUUAGAGGCGCAAGAGAAAAAAGUAGCUUUC